rnacentral:rRNA from 1 species
GAUGAACGCUGGCGGCGUGCCUAAUACAUGCAAGUCGAGCGAACAGACGAGGAGCUUGCUCCUCUGACGUUAGCGGCGGACGGGUGAGUAACACGUGGAUAACCUACCUAUAAGACUGGGAUAACUUCGGGAAACCGGAGCUAAUACCGGAUAAUAUAUUGAACCGCAUGGUUCAAUAGUGAAAGACGGUUUUGCUGUCACUUAUAGAUGGAUCCGCGCCGCAUUAGCUAGUUGGUAAGGUAACGGCUUACCACGGCGACGAUGCGUAGCCGACCUGAGAGGGUGAUCGGCCAAACUGGAACUGAGACACGGUCCAGACUCCUACGGGAGGCAGCAGUAGGGAAUCUUCCGCAAUGGGCGAAAGCCUGACGGAGCAACGCCGCGUGAGUGAUGAAGGUCUUCGGAUCGUAAAACUCUGUUAUUAGGGAAGAACAAAUGUGUAAGUAACUAUGCACGUCUUGACGGUACCUAAUCAGAAAGCCACGGCUAACUACGUG